AAAAAAUUCUACAAACAAUUCUAAAGACUUAAGGAUUCCUCAUAGUUUCUUCCACUUAAAGAAAUACAUUCUAUGAGGUGCAGAUUUAUUUCUUCCCAUCUUAAGUAUUUGAGAACCACCUCCACUCAGCACCUGAAAUUUUAGGAAAACUUACCUUAGAGUUGAAUAAAGGAUCCUUUAUUUCCAGAGCAAGAGGAGCAAUUUGCACUCUAGUACCACUGGCUGUGAGUAUGAUAGUCUGCCAUGUGUACUGUUCUUGAGGCCCAAUGAAUAAUUCACUUUUAUUCUGAGCUAGUCCCCCAAACACCAUUACCACCACUGACAAGGUGUCUCAUGGAAAGGCUGCAGUGCAGGACCCCUGCUGAAGCUGAGGAGGCACCUGCAUAGCCCUGGCAAGGAGGGCUCUUCCUGAGAUAUUUGAUGUAGACCACAAGGGUAACCUUGCAAAGAGAACAGCAGUGCACCCCCAGCAGAGAAAGCUACACCUAGGCUAUGUGAAAACCACAGCUGCACCUGAUGGAGAGGGGAUUAUCAGAUGCUAUUUGGUCUCUGCUCAUGCAACCCAAAACUUCCCGCCUGGCUGAACUGGGUAAUGUGAUAUAGCAAUCCAGUGAGAACAGCUCCACUACUUCAGCAGAAAAAAGACUGAACUUCAGCAGAGUGAACAGAAUGUAUCAAUGCAUCCUUUUUCGUACCACUUCUUGGUGCACAAGUUCGCUGUCCAUCUCCUACAUCUGAUGGCUUAUAAUCACUCCUAAUUUUCUCUGAUACAUUUUGGUUUUGGCCCAUAAGAGUAAACAAUAUUUACCUCCUUAAUAUAUUUUGAUUUCUCUCAGCAUGCAAUACUUGGCACAGAUCAAAUUCUUUGAUAGAGUUUGACAUUUGGCUUAAUGAAAUAUCAUUUUUAUCUUCCUGUGUGUACUUCCAUUUUGAACUUUUGUUUUAGUUUUGCAUACCUUGAGCUUUGGAAGGACCUGAAUGAGGGAGAUUUCAGCAAAUAUUUUAUUUCAGAGUGAGAAGGACCAGAGAUUUCCUUUAAUUGGUUGCAUUUCACAGAUAUAUUUAUGACGUUAUUCAGAGAAGAAUCAAAUAACAACCUCUUUCUUAUCACCACUAUCAUUCUGUGUUGCCUAGCAAUUCAUACAAAUUUCAUUAUUUUACAUAAUUCUUACAAAGAAACAAAUGGAGCCAAUAAAUAUACAACCUGACAUAUAUAUGUCUAAAAACAGAAGUUGAUCCUGGCCCUUAAGUCCAAAAAAAUCAAAGAAGUCCUAUUUGAUUUUUAAUUUGAGGAAAAAAAAAAAAAAAGCAAUGCACUAUGCAAAAAUAGAUAAUGGAAUAUAUUAAAACUCUGAAAUCUGUAGCUGGAAUUUCAUCUACCUUUUUCUCAAGUGUCAGAUCUGUGAAAUAUAAAAAAUUUUUAUGUGCCAGUAUUUUAGACAAUAUGAUGACAAAAUGGGUACCACAAAAUGGUCUUGAAUUCCCAUUUAUGUAGUUUGCAGAGUAAAGACAAAUAUAGAAUACACUUCAAGAAUUAGUAGUAAUGACUUAUAGUUCUUACGCUGCAAUCAAAGAUUUAUUUUAAAAUAUGAUGAAACUAUGAUAAAGAAAUGGUCAAGAAUGUAUAGACAAGUCUGUAUAGUUGUUAUCACUGAUAAUAUAUAUCAGGGUCCAGGGUCUCAGAAAUCACUAGAAAAAAAUUAUUUAUUCAAGACAUCCUUUUAGCCUUUAAUAAACAGCAUAAGAAUAGAUUCCAGAAAAUAAGAAACAUUUUAGCUAAAGCAUAUAAAUAUGUAAUUUCUGGCUUAUUUCUUAAGUUUCUGAUUGUCAAUGCCAUGCUAUUCUUUACCUCAGAAGUCAGGAAACAAAGGAAAAAUGAAUGUGUUGAGAAUUGCAGGAGCUGAAAAAUGCUGGAUAUUUCUAUGCUAAUGUUUAACAGAGAAAAAAAAAAGAAAAAUUUGUGUGUGUGCAUAAAAUCAGAGAACAAACAAAUAGACAAAAAGUUUUGUUUGCUGUUUUGCAAAAAGAUGAGAAAUGCAACACUGCUUGACUGCUGCUGGUUUUAGUUUACAAAACAAGUGCAAUUGACACUGGGAUUACUCAGUGCAGUUUAAAAUAUGUGGGUAUCUUUGCGCAUGUACUAUAUCUCUGAUGCUCAAAAUAUUGUGAUAUACUGCUGCAGCCAGCAAGGUCUGAGGAUCAUGACUGGCAUGAGAUUUCAGGUGAAUAGUGACAUUUCUUCUGAUUUCUUAAAUCUGUGUAUAUGUGUGUAUGUAUGUUGAUCCUAGCCUGUAAUGCAACUGCAGUCAUUCUUCA